ACAUGCCUACAUCAUAGCGUUAAUGCACCGGAUCCCAUUAGAACUUUGCAGUUAAGCACACUUAGGCUAGAGUAGUACUGGGAUGAGUGACCACCCGGGAAGUCCUAGUGUUUUACAUGCC
rnacentral:rRNA from 1 species